rnacentral:lncRNA from 1 species
AUUGGUGGGGAGAUUUACCUGAGGCUGUCUGCUCCAGCAGAGCACACAGCUUUCAGGGCUGUGCUCACUUGUUCCAAAUCAAAGGUCCCCAGUUUAUAUGUGCAGUAUAAUAGUCUCUGCUCCCAUUUCUCAACUUCUUCAUGUCUAACACAAUCAUGGUUUCUUUUUUUUUCUUCAGGUAUCAACAUCCUGCACUACCAUGAGAUACAGGGAGAGUUGGCCCCAUUACCAGUUACAAAGGGAUCGUGGAGGGUGGUGUGGUUUGCUCGCCAUGUGAACUCAAGUGAGUCAUUUCAAGUCUCUGAAGCUGCUUCCUCAUGUAUGAAAUGAAACUCAAAAUCUCUACCCUGUCUACCUCUGAGGUUGUUUGUGGAACUGAGUCAGCAAAGAGACAGAAGAUUCCUUAAAACUCUGUGGAAAUACAAGGAUUCUUUAUUAUCAGGGGUUUCUGGAGGGAGUACAAGGAAGGUAUGUUGCUGUCUUCACAGAUCAACACCAACAUUUUCAAAAUCAAGUUGACACAUACAAAUUAAUAGUCCCAUCUUGAUAUGCUCACUGGACAAGAACAAGCAGAGACACUAAAGCACCGGCUGACCUGCUCACCCCGGCCCCAUCCCACUUCCUGCAAGUGCGCGUUUGUGGUUUUGGACAGCUUGCGCUGAGAAGUGAUCAGCUUUGAUUUUCUUUCUUUUUUUCCCACACAGCCAUAGAUUAGCCUACUGUCAUUCUGAAUAGAUAUGAAGACUGAAGUGUCAAUUUUAAUAGUGAUGGUGAGAGUAAAUUAAUAUACAGUGAAUCUGAGCUAAAUAUUACUGGCAGUAAUUUUAUCAUGAUCAUUUUUAUGACUAUAGCGUUCUAAAGAAAUAGAACUUGUAGGUUUGUUGGUGGUUCUCUUUCCCGUAGACAGCCAAGCAGAGCGUUUUCCUCUGAUCCUGGUGGAGUAGAAAGGUGAUAGGUUUUAGCCUAUCUUAGGCUGAAAUAGAACUCAGGCAAUUCUGAGUUCCAACCUUGAUCAAAUUACUUACUUUCUACUUAUGUAUUAUAACAGACCACUUUUUUUGUCAAACAUUUUUAGUUGCACUUUCGUAUCUUACAAAUCUUGUUGCUUGCAGGCCUUCUCACUCUUUGAAACAAUGAAAUUCAGGGCUUUGGGGAGAAGCCCAGUACCUUUAUAAAACAACAGAGCUAUUGCUCAGUUUUGACUUAAUGUUAGGCAUCUGAGUCCAUAGCAAGUUAAAAGUUUAAGGGGAGUUUUUUGGAGGAAGAAUACAGGAGUUAGGAUUUGCAUUUGGUUUCAUGUCACAGAAAUCUGGCCAGUAAGACUUUAUCC